GUAAUCGUAGAUCAGAAUGCUACGGUGAAUACGUUCCCGGGCCUUGUACACACCGCCCGUCACACCAUGGGAGUGGGUUGCAAAAGAAGUAGGUAGCUUAACCUUCGGGAGGGCGCUUACCACUUUGUGAUUCAUGACUGGGGUGAAGUCGUAACAAGGUAACCGUAGGGGAACCUGCGGUUGGAUCACCUCCUUACCUUAAAGAA
rnacentral:rRNA from 1 species